rnacentral:rRNA from 1 species
UACGUAGGGUGCGAGCGUUAAUCGGAAUUACUGGGCGUAAAGCGUGCGCAGGCGGUUGUGUAAGUCUGUCGUGAAAUCCCCGGGCUCAACCUGGGAAUUGCGAUGGAGACUGCACGGCUAGAGUGUGUCAGAGGGGGGUAGAAUUCCACGUGUAGCAGUGAAAUGCGUAGAGAUGUGGAGGAACACCGAUGGCGAAGGCAGCCCCCUGGGUUAACACUGACGCUCAGGCACGAAAGCGUGGGGAGCAAACAGG